CAGCAGUGGGGAUAUUGCACAAUGGGGGAACCCUGAUGCAGCGACGCAGCGUGCGGGAUGACGGCCUUCGGGUUGUAAACCGCUUUCAGCAGGGAAGAAGCGAAAGUGACGGUACCUGCAGAAGAAGUACCGGCUAACUACGUGCCAGCAGCCGCGGUAAUACGUAGGGUACGAGCGUUGUCCGGAAUUAUUGGGCGUAAAGAGCUCGUAGGUGGUUGGUCACGUCUGCUGUGGAAACGCAACGCUUAACGUUGCGCGGGCAGUGGGUACGGGCUGACUAGAGUGCAGUAGGGGAGUCUGGAAUUCCUGGUGUAGCGGUGAAAUGCGCAGAUAUCAGGAGGAACACCGGUGGCGAAGGCGGGACUCUGGGCUGUAACUGACACUGAGGAGCGAAAGCAUGGGGAGCGAACAGGAUUAGAUACCCUGGUAGUCCAUGCCGUAAACGUUGGGCACUAGGUGUGGGGGACAUUCCACGUUCUCCGCGCCGUAGCUAACGCAUUAAGUGCCCCGCCUGGGGAGUACGGUCGCAAGGCUAAAACUCAAAGGAAUUGACGGGGCCCCC
rnacentral:rRNA from 1 species